rnacentral:rRNA from 1 species
GUCUACAGCCCUACCCCACUGAAUGCUCCUGAUCUCGUGAAGCUAUAAGCAGGGUCAGGCCUGGCUGGGACUUAGAUGAGAGACCAACUGGAAACACCGGGUGCUGUAGAAU